rnacentral:rRNA from 1 species
GACGAACGCUGGCGGCGUGCCUCAAACAUGCAAGUCGAACGAAUUUAAUCGCAAGAUUAGGUUAGUGGCGAACGGGUGAGUAACACGUGGGUAACCUGCCCUAAAGAUCGGGAUAACAGACCGAAAGGUCUGCUAAUACCGGAUAAUGUCUUAGAGUCGCAUGACUUUAGGAAGAAAGCCGAAAGGCGCUUUUGGAUGAGCUCGCGUCCCAUCAGCUAGUUGGUAAGGUAACGGCUUACCAAGGCGACGACGGGUAGCCGGUCUGAGAGGAUGGUCGGCCACACUGGGACUGAGAUACGGCCCAGACUCCUACGGGAGGCAGCAGUUGGGAAUAUUGGGCAAUGGGCGAAAGCCUGACCCAGCGACGCCGCGUGAGGGAAGAAGGCCUUCGGGUCGUAAACCUCUGUCAUCGGGGACGAAGGAAGUGACGGUACCCGAGGAGGAAGCCCCUGCUAACUACGUG